rnacentral:misc_RNA from 1 species
UUGAGAAUGGUCCAAGAAUUAAAGGUGCUCAAAAUAAUCUAUAUAAUCAAAUAAAAAUAUUGAAAAAAGAAACUGAAAAAUUUUAAAUUGAACUAGAACGGGACCUAACUGCAGGCUUCAGUUGUAGUUCACAGCAGGGGGAACCGUAACUGGCCCGUCCCUCCUACGGUCCCAGUCCAGUUCAAGGACCGGAACUGUUUAAACCGAACCAUGUGUGAGCCUUUUUAAAGGUUCAAUGUUCAAAUCUCAUUACAUUAAGAAGUACAUAGUUUUGAUUUAUUUAGUAACUUAAAAA